CAUAAUGCUUGGGGGUGCCCUUUGGGCUGAGAUCAUACCCUUUUCACCUGAUCAGGAUAAUGCCUGCGAAGGGAAAGCGAAUCUCGUUUAA
rnacentral:ncRNA from 2 species